UCCCAUUUGCCGUGAGACCAUCUCUGAACUUGAGUAGUGUGGGCUUCCGCCGCAAACACUCCGUUCAAGUGAUCCGCAGUGCACUCAGAUCCGAAUCAUCAGGACGCAGAAACCCCUUAUGAAGGGUUCAUAAAUAGAAAGGAAAGCAAGGCAGAAGCAUCAAAAAGUCGUGGAAACCGUCCAGCUGGAUGGUUUGAGGAGGAACUGGAUGGAUGGUUUGAGAAGAAACUUGAUGAGACGCCAGAUCGAGGUCAAGUCAAGUAUUUUUCUUUUCUCUCACUUAUUUUUGUUAGUAUAAUAUAAUUAAAAUAUAUUAGUGGCAUGCUGUUAUCUGUAUCUCAAUGUAAAUGAUGUUUUCGUGAAUAACUUUAGCAUUGUUUGGUUUUCUCUUAAUGCUUAUUUUAUAUAUCAUAUCCAUGUCUUCAUUUUUUUUAAAUUUGACGUAUCGCAAUGUCCAUGCAACAUAGCCUAGAACCAAUCUUUUCUCUCUGCCGUGUUCCUAGCUUUUCACCCCUCCUCGACGCACCCUAUUUAUAAGUGUAGGGUGCGGUUUACACUCAUAUAGUCUGAUUAGGUUUUCUAAUCUAUUUGGGAUUGGAAAGCACACUUGCAUUCUUAUUCCGUUUUUGCUUUCAGGAUUCUGAUUGUACAAGAAAAAUCUUUUUAGGACAAAAAUAUAUACCUUAGCUUUCCUAAUACGUUCUUAAAAUAAAAUAGGACUCUUUAACAAAAGACGAACCAAAUCAUAUGCAUGAAUUGAUGUGUUAGUUUGACAAAAAUGUUCUUCUAAAUUAAUUACCUUUUGUGUUGGAAAUAUGUUCACUCAGUACAUAGUUGUGUAAUUGAUUACACACACAUAAGUAUGUUUCAUUUGUCCUUAGUUGUGUAGUGUGCCUCGAUACAAUUUUGCAAUGAAACCAUAAACAAACAACUGACUUUCGGCACCUCAAUUUUCUAGGCCUCAAGUCAAACAAAGAUGUGGAGUAUUUUGACUCUCACGGAACCACUGUAAUAGUUGUGAUUUUCUAUGGAUUUGUUUUCCUUGAUUUGAUUCUAGGGGAAUCUACGAUAGGUAAAGUUUUGUAAUGUCAAAAUUUUUCCAAGUUUAUAACACAUCUUGUAUUGUAUUUAUUCAUUUCGUUUAUGUUUUAUUUUUCAGUUGAUAAGUGUGCUUGUUAAGUGUGUAAAGCUUGCGGGUAAUAUAUAUGAAUUAUUAGUGGGAAGAAUAAAAGAAUUGAAUGAAGGGGGUAAUAUAUAUGAAUUAUUAGUGGGAAGAAUAAAAGAAUUGAAUGAAGGGAUCCAAUAUUUUAGGGAGAAUGCUAGUGCAUGAAAUACCUGUGAAAACCCGCUUGAGUCUAUAACCAGACGGGUUGAAAUAUUUGUUACCUCUUUAACAUGACGGCGACCUUGCUUUCGUCAUAUGUGCGAUUACUUUAGGGGUAAGUUCGACAUUUACACAUGUGAUUUAAGUUUUAUCAUCUUUCAUUUUGUUUUUAUUUUUAUCUAUAUUGUAGGUUCCACAAAUCAUGUCUUGUUUAUCGAAAAUAACCCUGCAGAAACAUCACAUGUUACAGUAGGUGAUCUUCAAGAAGUUGUUUUAGGAUCUAGUGCAACAAUUGCUAGUAAGUAUUUGAAGACAAAUUUUUCAAAUAGUGCGGAGAUAAACGUGGUAAAAGAGAAUAUGACAUACUUCCUGCUUCAGGCUGCAAUAAGAGACAUCAGUACAAGGGGUAACCCAUUGCAGCCUGAAGAAGGAAGUAUGCCAUAUUCUCUUUCAACGCGUCUAUCUUCACGCUAUUUGAAAAAUUUGUCUUCAAAUACUUACUAGCAAUUGUUGCACCAGAUCCUAAAACAAUUUCUUGAAGAUCACCCACUGUAACACGUCAUGUUUCUGCAGGGUUGUUUCGAUAAACAAGAUAUAUGAUUUGUGGAACCUACAAUAUACAUAAAAAUAAAAACAAAGCGAAUGAUGAUAAAACUUAAAUCACAUAAGUAAAUGUCAAAUUUACCCUUAAGGUAACCGCACACAUGACGAAAGCAAGGUCGCCGUCAUGUUCAAGAGAUAACAAAUAUUUCAACCCAUGUCUGGUUAUAGACUUAAGCGGGUUUUCAGAGGUAUUCCAUGCACUAGCAUUCUCCUUAAAAUAUUGGAUCCCUUCAUUCAAUUAUUUCAUUCUUUCCACUAAUAAUACAUAUAUAUUAUCCGCAAGCUUUACACACUUACAAGCACACUCAUCAACUGAAAAAUGAAAUAAAUACAAUACAAGGUGUGCUAUAAACUUGGAAAAAUUUUGACAUUACAAAACUUUACCUAUCUUACGGAGAUUACCAUACUUUCUGGUUCCUCUAUAAUCAAAUGAAAACAUAGAAAAUCACAAUUAUUACAGUGGUUCCAUGAGAGUCAAAAUACUCCACAUCUUUGUUUGACUUGAGGCCUAGAAAAUUGAGGUGCCGAAAGUCACUUGUUUGUUUAUGGUUUAAUUGCAAAAUUGUAUCAAAACUAAGGACAAAUGAAAUAUACUUAUGUGUGUGUAUAUAUAUCUGUGUGUGCAUGUACUUAGUGAACAUAUUUCCAACACAAAAGGGCAAUUAAUUUAGAAGAACAUUUUUGUCAAGGUAACACACCAAUUCAUGCAUAUGAUUUGGUUUGUCUUUUGUUAAAGAGUCCUAUUUUAUUUUAGGAAAGCUAAGGUACACAUUUUUGUCCUAAAAAGAUAAGAUUUUUCUUGUACAAUUAGAUUGUGAAUCCUGAAAGCAAAAACGGAAUAAGAAUACAAGUGUGCUUUCCAAUCCCAAAUAGAUUAGAAGAUGUGUAAACUAAACCCUACACUUAUAAAUAGGGUGCAAAGUUAAGCAUAAAACAGGAACACGACAGAGAGAAAAUCAGAAUGAUUGGUUCUAGGCUAUGUUGCAUGGACAUUGCGAUAUGACAUUAGGAAAUAUUAAAUUAAAAAAAACGAAGACACGAUACGACAUGGAUACAAUAUUAAUAUAUAUAUAUAUAUAAUAUUAUAAAAUAAGCAUUAAGAGAAAACCAAACAAUGCUAAAGUAAUUCCCGAAAACAUAAUUUACACUGAGAUUCAGAUAAAAAUAUGCCACUAACAUAUAUAAUAUAUUUUAAUUAUAUUAUACUAACAAAAUAAGUGAGAGAAAAACAAAAAUCAGAGAAAAGAAAAAAACUGACUUGACCUGUAUCUAUCUCAAAAGCGUGGAGAUUGACGCGGUGAAAGAGAAUAUGGCAUACUCCCUGCUUCAGGCUGCAAUGAGAGACAUGGGUACAUUAUCCGUUGGAAUCCUUUCAGCUCAUGGAUUCAAGUUGUUGUCUGAGAUGACAACACUUGAAUGCAUUUAUGCGUUUUAUGAUGACAUGGAUUCAGAUGUUUUGAGCAGAUCCCUAUUUGUCGUCUACAAGCCGUCUAAAAUUUCUAAUCCUGUGAUGAAUUUUUGGUUUAAAUUGGGGGUCCUCACACAGAUUUAAACACAUGCAUGUGUUAGAUCUUGCUACAUUUCACAACCAUAACCAUAAAUCUGAAACGAGAAAAAAAAAAUAACAGACAUGGAGGAGGGAUUUACCUUCAUGCAUCUUAGCUUUGCACGCUUGUUCCACCAUGGAUGGGUUAGAGAAACACGGAUGAAGAAGCGGUUGUGAGAUGGAAGGUUUGGAAGAAUGGGCGUUGGGUGAGAGGUCCAGCGCCUUUCCUCAGUUCCAGGUCCAGGUUCGAACCGUGCCAGGUGUGUCCAAUUCCUUUUAUUUUAUUUUAUUUUGUCUUUUAUUUGUUAUUUUAUAUUUUUUUUCUGUUUUUAUUUUUCCUUUCCUGGUUUAUUUUGUUUGCCUUUGCUCGAUUUUUUAUUUAUUUUUAAAUUUGUUGUUCUAGGGAAUAGUCUUUUUAUUUUUUUUAUUUUUCUUUUAUUUUUCACACCUUGAGGACAAUGUGUGAUUUAAGUUUGGGGGUGGGAAAGUAGAAGUUUUAGGUAUUUUAAUUUUUGUGUCAGUUAAAUUUUUUUGUUUUUAAGUUAAUAUCCAUAGUUUAUUUUAAACGUUAAAACAAAUGUACAUCGUGAAGAUUAAUCCUACCGUAAAAUAUUUUCUA